AUGGCAAGCCAUUAGUAUGGCAAGCCAUCAGUGCCAAAAAUCGCCACUUUUCUAACCCGUUUGGUUAAUAAAUGGCGUAAAAAAAUGCCGUUUAAUCAUUCCAAACGCCGAAAAAAACGGUGUUCUGUUCCGACAAACGCCAUGCCCUGAACGCACCAUCCAAGUGACGUAAAAAGCGGCGUUCAAAGACAGACGGAAACGCCGUUUUUUCCGCCAUUCGGCAGAAAACGCGGUUCAAAGAAGCAUAAAAACUGCGUUUUUUACGGCGUUCUGUGCCAGCUGUAACGGCGUUUAAAAUGGCGUUUUAUUGAAAUUAUGCAGGGCACUCCCCAUGGUCCCCUUAUCCAAUUACUUUCAACUCAUUUCACCCAAUCAAAGAAGAGGAAGUGCAGACCACACUAAUGCAUCACCGAUUCACCUUGCUGCUAAGCGAUUGCCUAUUCAGUACCAGUGCUUGUCACAGUAUUGACUUGUAUUAUAAUCCCACUAUGCAUUUUGAUGUGUUUAAGGCAUGAUCAAGCAAACAAACGACAGAAUACUUUUUCUGAAACCUUAACUGUGUUACCUGUUAUGGCAGCUUUCUUAUUUUCCUCUUUACUUCUCUUAACCUUUAACUUAUGUCUUAGCAAUCAGAUUCUGCCAUCAUGCGUUACCACUUCGUGCUAGUUAUGUUGACUUUUCUCUUCUUUUGUCUCCACUUUUUUCACCCGUAUUUGGACACUCGGCGCAUGGCUCUUUUGUUUACGUUAGGGAUCAGCUGUUAGCGCUGCGCCCUGCAGCUGCGCUACCGGCAGACAGACCCUACGUCCCCAGUGAGGGAAGAGACAUGGGUGAUGUCUCCCGAGAAGGACACCUUACACACCAUCUCUCCUUCCUGUAAUCACUGUAAAUGUGAGAUCGCUCCCUGAUAUGAUCGAGGAGCUAAUGACACUAACCCGGUCACAGUGGCAGUACCCCAACACUGCCCGGUACUCCCUCUGUGAGUAGGCUGCCCGGCUUCCAGCUGCUGCGGGCGGACAAGACGAGAGACAGCGGUGAGAGGAAAGGAGGGGGGGUGGCAGUGUUUGUUAAAGACAGUUGUGGUAUCCCUGGGCACAUCGCUGUGAAAGAACAACUCUGCAACACAGACAUUGAGACAUUAGCCGUUAGCAUCCGUGGAGGCAGCCUGUGACUCUCUGUGGUCCGCAGACUGCAAACGCAAUCUCCGAGAGCUCUUCUUCUAGUAUCAGGGGACUUUAAUCAUGUCUCGCUGGACUCCACACUGCCCACCUUCACCCAGUAUGUGACCUGCCCCACCGUAGGCAAUAAAACAUUGUACUUAAUGUAUGCCAAUGAAAAAGUGGCAUACAGUUCAUCACCUCUCCCUGCCCAGGGAAGAUCUGAUCGUAACCUAGUUGUAACCUUGUCCCUGUGUGCAGCCCUUAGUGUGCACGGAGCCACUAAUCACCCAUGCAGUGCAGAGAUGGUCCGUGGAGGGCAUAUAAAUAAAUAAUAAAAGCAAAUAAAUGACAGAAUUCUUUUUUUAAACAAGUGGAGACAUUAACUUUGAUCAAAAUCCUUUUGUGUUCAGUUUAAAUUAAUACCACUGUAUAAUAGCCUUCAAAAUUAAUAAUGUUAACAGUAUCUCAGGAAUAUUUUUGCCCUUUCAACAUGCAUUAAAAAAACAGAUAUGCAGUUUUGAAUAAGACCUGUAUGUACGUUUUCUGAAAAGUGAUGUAAAUAAAUAAUCUCAAAAACAUGAAAUAAUAGUUUCCCAUGUAAACUGGAGAUGUCCUUGUCAAUGUCAUCAGAGUACUCUGGAUGUCUUAAACGAAUUUGAAACAUAAAACCAGAGAGUGACACAUGACAUCCGAUACAUGAGCUGCCUCAUGUUGCUUCCAGGUGGGGAAAGAAUGAAAAGAUAAACCAUUUUCAACCUUAUUCCCUUGCCGGUCGUGCGAUCUAACUUUACAACCAACCGCACAGCAAGUACGAACCAUAGCUGGUGUUAUCCGUGUACUUUUGCUCCUCUUUUGCUAGCGCUUUGUUUGGCCCAGAAACAUGGCGCCUCAACCAAAAAUCCAGGCCACGCCCCCUCUCGUAACAUCACGCUCCAAAAGCCCUAUUAGGCUAAUCGUUGUGUCACUUCUGGUAUUUCAGACAAUCCCUUUCCGUCAAGGAUUUUUAAUUUGUUGUGGGAUUUUUUAAUUUGUUGUGGGUUUUUUAAUUUGUUGUGGGUUUUUGUAAUUUGUUGUGAGGUUUUUUAAUUUGUUGCGGGUUUUUUAAAUUUGUUGCGGGUUUUUAAUUUGUUGUGGUUUUUUAAUCUGUUGCAACUUGCACUUCCCAGCCACCGUAAGAAAAGGAGUCAGCGUCCAGAUGCAGUGCAAACUUUGUUUGACCUCUACAGUCAUUUCAGCUUACAAGACUUCGGCGUUUAAUCUAAAAAAACACAUUGAGAGGAAACAUCCAUCGAAGAUUGAGCAGUACAAUAUCACUGUGGCAUCAACAUCUCGUCAGCGAAAGACCACAGCCACACCAAACAAGCUCUCAGCAAAUACACAAGCCAAGUUACCAGACCUGAUGUUGAGAGCUGCAAACAAACAUGUUCCACAAGCAACUGUUGACAAGCUUGAUAUCAAUUUCAUAUGUGAGGGUCUACAGCCAUUUGCAGUGGUAGAACAGCCAUCUUUCAAAGAAUUGGUUACCACAUUACAACCUCAAGCCAAAGUCAUCUCCAGACCCACUGUCCGUGCCAGAAUCUGUGAAGCUGCUGAUCACAUGAAGAUGACUUUGGUUGCAGCAUUGGAUAAAGUCAAAUUUGUUGCUACCACUACUGAUUGUUGGUCAGCUCAUCAGAAAAGUUACAGCAUGAAUGACACCUACAAGAGGCUCUCCCGUGCAACCUUUGCAAAAUGCCAGGCCAUUUGGAACAAAACUGGCCGGUCUCAUUUGGCUAAUGAAGUGGUAGAGGACAAGUGUUGUGUCUAAACUCAGACCCCGCUGUAUCCAGGACUUAUUCCCAUGAAAGAAAAACAAGGCAACAGCGAUUGAUUACUUGCGCAAGGGAGGCCUCAUUGGUAUCUUAGCUCAUCACGAAUGACCCCGACGAUGGCCUCCUCUCGCUGCCUUUUAUUGAGAGACAGUUCACACAAAACAAUAGUACCUCCCCUCAUAAACCCCCUUGGUUACAAAGACAAGGCACUGUAUGCAUAUGUGUGUGUGUGUGUGUGUGUGUGUGUGUGUGUGUGUGACCUCCUGCUGGGCAGGAAGCUUACAUCAAAAAGACCUUCACAUGGAUGUUGCCUGUAAUAAAAGACUACAGCCCCCCACCCAGAACCUCGAGAAUCUAGGGAGGGGGACAGUGGAAUUCCUUUCAUCCUACAGUUAAACAAUGUAGAAAUGGAUGGUAAGCAUAAAAAUGACAAACAUUUAACAAUUCAUUCUAACAACAAGUGUGAGCUACAGAUCAUUCGUCCCAAUGCAACACGGUGGAAUUCAACCUACCUUGCCAUCGAAAGGAUAAUACGCAAAAUGGCCUUCAAAAGCGUUUUGGACUGAUGAUAGAGGAUCCAGAGUUGGCUGCAGCUGCAGUCCUCUUACCCAAGUUCAAGACUUCCUGGACUGACAGAGCAGAUGUAAUAGAGGCUGCCUUGGCAUACAUUAAACAACAUCUUGAAACGACGGAGCAUGAGAGUGAGGAUCAGCAAAGAGAGUCAUCUGAUGAAGAUGAAUUCUUCUCCAGACCAAUCUCCAGAAGGCUGCAAAGUGCAGCUGAGCUUGAUGGUUAUCUUGCUUGUGCCACAGACACCAUGGAGCUGCUGCACUCCUUCUCAGC